rfam:Pyronema omphalodes CBS 100304, CBS100304, WGS project CATG01000000 data, contig: Pcon_v1_contig306
GGUCGCAUGGUGUAGUGGUUAUCACGUUUCGUUUACAUUAGCUGAAUCCGAAAAGGUCGCAGGUUCAAGCCCUGCUGCGAUCA